ACCGCCCGUCACAUCACGAAAGCCAGUUGUACUAGAAGCCGGUGAAUCAACCGCAAGGGGAUAGCCGUCCAAGGUAUGACUGGUGAUUGGGGUG
rnacentral:rRNA from 1 species